AUGUCCACAUAAAUUUGUCCAUUAGACAAUGACCAUGAAAAAUAAAAGAUCUCAUAUCCAUGUUCACAUAAAGAUGUCAAAUACAUUACACAAUGUUUCAGCCACUGUCGUCCAUUCCCUUUGGAACUAUUGGUCACUACGAAAUGGAGAACAAAUUUCACCAUAGAAGAACAAAAAACUUUCACAUAAAGAACCAUGAACCAUUUUUCCUUCAUCAACGCUGCUCCUUUAUCAACGCCGCGUCGAUGGCCUUCGUAGUAGAAAGAGCACUAAAUCUAUACUUGAUCAGUAACACAAAUUCAAAUCUCGGUAUGUACACAAGGAAGAGAACAAUUCAAGUAUCCAAAAAUAUUAAAAUCAAAGAAAUUUUCAACACAUGGGUUCAUGAACAAAACAUAUACGUGGGUCAAACAAAAUAUGUUCUUUAAAUUUGAAUCUCAUUACACACUCAGUUUCGUUCUUUCAAAUCAAACAAGUAAAACUUUUAGUUAUAAUAAAAAAAUUCUUAGCUAUCUAGUUUAAACCCUAACAAAAGGAUUGACUAAAAAAUUCAAACACGAAACAAUGCAAUUCAUCCAAAACAGAAGAACACCUCCAUUAAUGGGAUCUUCUAAUCAACCUACAAAGAACAUAUAUUGUUUUGAGAAAUCAAAAUCUAAGCAAAAUCAAUUUAAACAUAGAUUCAAAAUAUUUAAGAAAAAGAGAUUGAGUAGAAAAAUCGGAACCUAACCUCCAAAAUUCUUCAACAAUCGGUUUGAAGGCUCUUUUCGUUGCCCCUCUCUCUGUCGCUAUCUCUUUUACAGAGGUAAAAGCUAUA
rnacentral:lncRNA from 1 species